CUGAGGAGGAAGAAAAGUGCAGGUUUUCGACGUUUACUUGGACUACUAUACUUACAUUGUGGAUUCCUCAUUCCACUCCGGAUUCCCAUCCGGAUCUUUGACGACAGCUGUUCUGUAUUUCUUGGACCCCACUCCAAAUAUGACAGAAAAUUUACAUUUUCCUGGAAGAAAUGUUGAAUUAAAAAAUUGCUGUACUCUGAACAUGAAAAGUGAAGAAUUACAGGCAGAUAUCGGAGUAAUAUAUCCCCAAUGCACUCACCCUGUCUCCUGCUCUGUAAGCCCUUAGCGCUGAGAACUGUAAUAAAAACAGAAAAACUCUG